rnacentral:tRNA from 1 species
GCAUAUGAUCAGUUGGUAGAGCACGAGACUCUUAAUCUCAGGGUUGUGGGUUCAAGCCCCACGUUAGGCA